UAAGUUGCUAAAAACGGUUCUAAAAUACUCGUGGACAUAAGGAAACUUUGUUUUCAGGCUCCAGCUACUGAGGACAAUGAUGAUGACAUUGAUCUCUUUGGGGAAGAGACAAGAGAGGAAAAGAAAGCCGCUGAAGACCGUACUGCAGCUAUCAAAGCAGCUAGGAAGAAGAAUGAAUCUGGAAAAUCCUCUGUUUUGUUGGAUAUAAAGCCCUAGGAUGAUGAAAUCGACAA